GCCUACGGCCACACCUCCUCGACUGUAGCCAAUCUCUUCUAAUCUCAGAAACUAAGCCAGGUCAGGCCUGGUUAGUACUUGGAUAAGAGACUCCUGGGACUGCUGAGUGCUAGAGGCU
rnacentral:rRNA from 1 species